rnacentral:misc_RNA from 1 species
UUUCCGUAGGUGAACCUGCGGAAGGAUCAUUAAUGAAAUGCAAGGGCGUCCUUUUUAGGAGUCCGACCCAUUAUCAUCUCACACUGUGCACAUAACUACUUUUUACACCUUUUUAACACUAUAAGUAUAGAAUGUAAUCAGCUCUUAAAUGAGUAUAUAAGUUAAUACAACUUUCGGCAACGGAUCUCUUGGUUCCCGCAUCGAUGAAGAACGCAGC